AGAAACUUAAGUUAUUUCAAACUAGAGGCCUUCAAAGCCCCCAAAAAAGUUACCGCUUUAGUUUCUG
rnacentral:tRNA from 1 species